CGCCCACCGCUUGGCUGCCCAUAGCCCCCCCGCCGCCGACCGAGCCCGCCGGCCGCAGGGACCUGGCAGCCCCCGGGGGCCGGCAGGACAGGAGCGCGGAGUCCGGCACCCACCUCGGGGUUGGGACUCGAGAAACUGUCUUUGAGGCCCGCAGAGGACACGUCUCCAAGGACGAGUGUCAGCCGGGUCUGACGGCUGCAGGACACAACCGAGGAAGAACCGUGGUCCUUUCUCAACUAGCCAAGCCCUGGUGAAUCCCUUUCCCCUCAGUGCCAUUGCGUGAAGUGGGCUUCUGCAGGUACUCCCGAGAUGGGGGGAUGCCACCGCCCUCACCCCCUGGAUUGGAGACGCUGGACGUUCCGAGAGUUAAGACUGCUCCCCUGCUUUCUGACCUAUGGGACGAGCAGGAGUCUUUUGCGAAUCUUACACUGACUGAGCUGGCAUGACCUGAGAGGAUCACUUGGUCAGAUCCUUGAUGAGGAAAAGGAGGCCCAUGUGGUUUGCGGGAGGUGGCGAUGAGUGGCUGAGCAGGAGCCUGACCUUGGUCUCCAGACCCAAUCCCAGAGUUCUUCCCUGGACAUGGUCACCUGCUGCGGUGGGGGAUCCUCGUGCGGUAGAGCCCACCGUCUUCACUGAUCUAAGACUUCUGUUUCAAGUGGAGUCAGGGCCCUGUGGCCUCCCAGGGGUUCUCCCCUACCAGCACCCAUCACAAACUGCUCGUGGUGAUAAUGACUUGUGCGAAGGGGGCCCCCUGGAGGCUAAAAUCCUGCACUGCAGGCAGCACUCCUGUCCCUACCCCAAGUCCUUGCAGCUGGGGUGGGUCCACUGAAGGAACACAGAACCUCUGAACUGAGGAGUUUUGAGAGCCCUAAAGGGUCAUCCAUCUUUUUUUUUUUAAGUUUCAUGUCAUAUAUAUUUUACCACAAGUAAAAGAAGACAUUUCCACAUCCAUCAUCCAACUGAAUCCUCCCAAGGUCCCAGGGAGUGAGCAGCCAUGACCACACUCUACAUAGAGGACGCUGAAGCAGACAGAGGCGAAACAGCCUGAACCAAGUCUCACCGCAGAGACAUCACAUUUGGGAAUCCAUCCCAGAUUUGCCCACUGCCGAAACAAGGGUGAUUAUCAGUUAGGUGCAUUGCACCCGUUACCUACCCUCACUGUUAAGGUCGCCUUAGUUGUUGCUACAAAAGACUUGCACAUCCUCCAGAUCUUACUCAGACUAAACCGUAAGAUGUUUGCCCAAGUUGUUUUUCAGGAACUUGGAGUCAGCUGUGUCCAGUGCAUGCUCCAGCCAGUUAAGACUGGUUAGGACCGUCAGCCCCUUCCUGGGCAUCUGAGAGUGUCCACUCGAUGAGGGGGUUAUCCAUCUUAAGUUCUCUGUUGUACAAAUGGGAAAAGCACCGCUGACUUGCCCAAGGUCACGCACCAGCAGGCCCAGGGCUGGCGUCCAUGUCUCUCAGACUUCCAGCCCAGUGGUCUUCCCACUUUACCUCGCCUCAGCACCCCCAUCACAUUUAGGCUCAUGUGGGGGCCCCCAGAGUCCCUCCAUCACCGUGAACAUGCAGGCUUUAUCUAUAAUGGAGCUGGAGGGCAGAGGUGCUUGGAUGGAGGAGCAGGUAGGAUCGGGCCUCUUUCCUUGAGGGUCAGCAGGGGCUCUUGGGGGGCUCCUGGGGCGGUGAGGAUGCAGAGUCGUCCAGGACUCUCAGAGGAGUGUGCGCAGGGGCCGGUUGUGACGCGCCCCGUGGCUGACUAGCAGGGGUGAUUUUGCCCUAGUCAUUUAACCUCCCAAGCCCCAAUUUCCUCACCUGCAAAAUCAGUAUAA